AGGACAAGAAAACCAGCAAUGCAUGAAAGGAAUGGUGUCCUGUAGCGGUCCGUGCGACAUCGAAGUAGAAGGAAAAGAAAAACCAGAACAAGUAGCAGGACAAGAAGAAGAAGAAGAAGACUAAACUGAACAAGCCGCGGAAACAGACAGAGCCCAAGACAACUGAAGGAUUACAUUUCACCUGGAUCUGCUGCGUUGUGUGACACAAACUGUUCAUCUUCCAGUAUCUCCGGGAAGAACAGUCUCGUCUGCCUGGCUUCUCCUCACUGGAACCUUGAACAACAAAACAGCAAAGUCCAAAUAGACCAGUCUGAAGUUGACAUCAUUAGAAGUUUGUUAUCAGCUAAAGUAAGGGUGAACUUCCAUCUAUAGAAAGCCUAGUGAACAAAACCUUUGAGUCUGUUCUGCACUAAACUGUCUCUACAACACUAUAUGCUUUAAAGGAUUUGUUUUGAAGACUCCGACUCAGAGACAGUAGCUGAUGUCCUGAUGCUCCACUCAGACUAAACAGUAGUGAUAAUAACAACAGACUCUCAGAGACAGACAGAUUCAAACAAAGCAGCUCUGGUUUCAGCUCCAACUCAUCAGCCAAAACUUUAAAUGUGCAGCUUCACUACCAACUGGUGCUUAUUUUAAUGUUAAAGUGGUUUCCCAUGGUGCAAACUAAGGAUUUUGGGCUAAAUAUGGUACUUUCACAGCUAAAACAUUUUUUUAAUGAGCUACUUACUGUUGGCGAUGGGGUUUUACAUGAACACACAUUUUCUACACUUUAUAACAGUUAGGGUUGUUUCACAUGAGAAAUUUCUGUUGUGGUGUGUUGUUUCAGUA